rnacentral:lncRNA from 1 species
UUGUUUUGUUGGUUAAACUUCAAUUUGAUCUUGUUGAAAUUUAGUCUACCUCAGUAGAACUUCAGCUGAACUUCUGCAGUGAAUGUUCAAAACAUCCUUUUCUCUCAUAUUGACAUAUUUUGUUCUUGUGGAAAUGCUACAAAGUUCUUCUAUCUACAGUUGUAGCUGUAUUAUUUGAGUUUUGAUUUGGAAAUUAUAUAGACCUGGACUUUUUACUUGGAUUUGUUGUUUCUGAAAUUUAACCCAAGUUUCCUUGUAAACAGUGUUCUUGUUAGGGUGCGCUUUUGAGGAUUUUAGACUUGAGUUUAGCUUGCUGAUUCUCCUAAAGAGUUCUGGUGGAACUGGUAUGACUGGUACACCAGCUGGAGCUCGGCUAUUUAUGGUUGCUCUAAUCCUGCAGCAUGACAUAUGAGUAAAUGUUUUCCUUGUUGGUAAGUAUACAAACUCAACCCUACCCUGUAAACAUGUAAAGUAGGAAUUUUGUGGUUUUUGUUGCUCUAUCUUGGUGAUUUCAACUUUGUGAUCACAAUCUGCAAUUUAUAUGUGUAUACUGAAAGAGUAACAGAAGAAAUAAAAGAGGAGAGGUUACCCUUGCUGGUGUAUAAUGGUAUUGAAAUUCUUUAUUUAACACUUCCAAAUUCUUUGGGUUAGCUGAAUAUCGAACUGAAUACUUUCUGAGAUGGAGGCGAGCCGUAGAAGUUUCUCCACAAUUAGCCC